rnacentral:rRNA from 1 species
UACGUAGGUGGCAAGCGUUGUCCGGAUUUACUGGGCGUAAAGGGCGUGCAGGCGGUCUGUUAAGUCUAGGGUGAAAGCUCCCGGCUCAACUGGGAGAGGUCCUUGGAUACUGGCGGACUUGAGGGAGGCAGAGGAAAGUGGAAUUCCUGGUGUAGUGGUGAUAUGCGUAGAUAUCGGGAGGAACACCUGUGGCGAAAGCGGCGCACUGGACCACAACUGACGCUGAGGCGCGAAAGCUAGGGGAGCAAACAGG